rnacentral:rRNA from 1 species
AACGAACGCUGGCGGCGCGUCUUAAACAUGCAAGUCGAACGAUCUGUAGCAAUACAGGGAGUGGCGGACGGGUGAGGAACACGUAGGAAUCUACCUUGAAGAGCGGGACAACUUUGGGAAACCGGGGCUAAUACCGCAUAGUACAGAGAUGUUAAAGGGCUAGCAAUAGUCGCUUCGAGAUGAGCCUGCGGUCUAUCAGCUUGUUGGUGAGGUAAUGGCUCACCAAGGCUACGACGGAUAGCCGGUCUGAGAGGAUGAUCGGCCACACUGGCACUGAGACACGGGCCAGACUCCUACGGGAGGCAGCAGUUAAGAAUCUUGCGCAAUGGGGGAAACCCUGACGCAGCGACGCCGCGUGAAGGAUGAAGGCUUUCGGGUUGUAAACUUCGGUAGACUGGGAAGAAGAAAUACGUUCGUUGAGGGCGUAUAGUGACGGUACCAGUCUGAAGCCCCGGCUAAUUACGUGCCAGCAGCCGCGUAAU